rnacentral:rRNA from 1 species
AUGCAAGUCGAGCGCGAAAGCUCCCUUCGGGGAGUAAGUAGAGCGGCGAAAGGGUGAGUAACGCAUAGGUAACCUACCCCCAACUCUGGUAUAGCGCCUGGAAACGGGCGGUAAUCCCGGAUGGUCCCGAGGACGGGAAUCCGACCUCGGGCAAAGAUUGGGAUCUUCGGACCUUUCGGUCGGGGAGGGGCCUAUGUCCCAUCAGCUAGUUGGUGAGGUUAUGGCUCACCAAGGCAAUGACGGGUAGCCGGACUGAGAGGUUGGCCGGUCACACUGGGACUGAGACACUGCCCAGACUCCUACGGGAGGCUGCAGUCGAGAAUCAUUCACAAUGCGCGAAAGCGUGAUGAUGUGACGCCGCGUGGAGGAUGAAGGCCUUAGGGUUGUAAACUCCUGUCACGGGUUAUGAAACGCAGUGCGUUAAUAGCGUGCUGCCUGACAAAGGCCCGAGAGGAAGUCACGGCUAACUCCGUGCCAGCAGCCGCGGUAAUACGGAGGUGGCAAGCGUUGCUCGGAAUCACUGGGCAUAAAGGGCGUCUAGGCGGAUUGGUAAGUCGGCUGUGAAAUCCCUCGGCUCAACCGAGGAAGUGCAACCGAUACUGCCGGUCUUGAGGGCGAGAGGGGAGAGUGGAACUCCUGGUGGAGCGGUGAAAUGCGUAGAUAUCAGGAGGAACGCCGGUGGCGAAAGCGACUCUCUGGCUCGUCCCUGACGCUGAAGCGCGGAAGCUAGGGGAGCGAACGGGAUUAGAUACCCCGGUAGUCCUAGCCGUAAACGAUGGGCACUAAGUAGAGGGGUUUU